UGACCCAAAUCCGAUUUUUUUGCCCCUAUGCGACCUGUAUCGGAUCUUUUCAUGACAGUCUGAACGACACAGAUCCGAUUUUUUCAAUGCGACCCAGGCCACUUGGAUAUGUGGUCCUAAAUCUGAUACGUAUCGGAUCUUUUGCCAUACGACUUCGGUCUGA